UACGAGGGGGGCAAAUGUUGUUCGGAAUCACUGGGCGUAAAGGGAGCGUAGGCGGGUGUUUAAGUUAGGUGUUUAAUCCUGGGGCCCAACCCCGGUCGUGCACCUAAAACUGGACAUCUUGAAUAGUGGAGAGGUCAGUGGAAUUGGGGGUGUAGCGGUGGAAUGCGUAGAGAUCCCCAAGAACACCAGUUGCGAAGGCGGCUGACUGGACACAUAUUGACGCUGAGGCUCGAAAGCAUGGGGAGCAAACAGG
rnacentral:rRNA from 1 species